UGAAUACGAGAUGCUACGGCGUCGAAGCAGUCUAUGUCAUACUUCCAAGAAAAGCUUGCACUGUCAUAAACAAAUAAUGCCUGUACCAUAACCGACACAGGUGGGUAGGUAGAGUAUACUAAGGGGCGCGAGAUAACUCUCUCUAAGGAACUCGGCAAAAUGACUCCGUAACUUCGGGAGAAGGAGUGCCUUAUUUAUAAGGUUGCAAUAACAAGAUCCAAGCAACUGUUUACCAAAAACACAGGUCUCCGCUAAGUCGUAAGACGAUGUAUGGGGGCUGACGCCUGCCCAGUGCCAGAAGGUUAAAGAAGUUGGUUAGCAUCCGCGAAGCUGAUAACUGAAGCCCUGGUGAACGGCGGCCGUAACUAUAACGGUCCUAAGGUAGCGAAAUUCCUUGUCGGGUAAGUUCCGACCCGCACGAAAGGCGUAAUGAUUUGGAUACUGUCUCGGAGAGGGGCUCGGUGAAAUAGACUUGUCUGUGAAGAUGCGGACUACCUGCACCAGGACAGAAAGACCCUAUGAAGCUUUACUGUAACCUGAAAUUGAAAUUGGACUUUACUUGCGCAGUAUAGGUGGGAGGCGUUGAGAAUAUUCUUGCGGGAUUAUUGGAGCCAUCAGUGAGAUACCACUCUUGUAAUGUUAGAUUUCUAACUUUGUAUCAUUAUCUGGUCAAAGAACAGUUUCAGGCGGGCAGUUUGACUGGGGCGGUCGCCUCCUAAACGGUAACGGAGGCGCACAAAGGUUUCCUCUGAACGGGUAGAAAUCGUAUCUAGAGUGUAAAGGCAUAAGGAAGCUUGACUGUGAGACCUACAAGUCGAGCAGGGACGAAAGUCGGUCUUAGUGAUCUGACGGUGCUGAGUGGAAAGGCCGUCACUCAACGGAUAAAAGUUACUCUAGGAUAACAGGCUGAUCUCCCCCAAGAGUUCACAUCGACGGGGAGGUUUGGCACCUCGAUGUCGGCUCAUCGCAUCCUGGGGCGGUAGUACGUCCCAAGGGUUGGGCUGUUCGCCCAUGAAAGCGGUACGCGAGCUGGGUUCAGAACGUCGUGAGACAGUUCGGUCCAUAUCCGGUGUAGGCGUUAGAAUAUUGAGAGGAGCCUUCUUUAGUACGAGAGGACCGAGAAGGACAUACCUCUGGUGUACCAGUUAUCGUGCCAACGGUAAACGCUGGGUAGCUAUGUGUGGAGUGGAUAACCGCUGAAAGCAUCUAAGUGGGAAGCCCACCUCAAGAUAAGUAUUCUCAC
rnacentral:rRNA from 1 species